rnacentral:rRNA from 1 species
UUUGAUCCUGGCUCAGAACGAACGCUGGCGGCGUGCCUAACACAUGCAAGUCGGACGGACUCAUAUUGAAGUAGCAAUACGGAGAUAUGAGUUAGUGGCGGACGGGUGAGUAACACGUAGGUAACCUACCCUUAAGCGGGGGACAACUCAGGGAAACUUGAGCUAAUACCGCAUAAGACCACGGGCUGAGAUGCCAGUGGGAAAAGGAGCAAUCCACUUAAGGAUGGGCCUGCGGCCUAUCAGGUAGUUGGUGAGGUAACGGCCCACCAAGCCAGAGACGGGUAGCCGGACUGAGAGGUUGAACGGUCACACUGGAACUGAGAUACGGUCCAGACUCCUACGGGAGGCAGCAGUGGGGAAUAUUGCGCAAUGGGGGAAACCCUGACGCAGCGACGCCGCGUGGAGGAUGAAGGCCUUCGGGUUGUAAACUCCUUUUGUAGGGGAAGAUAAUGACGGUACCCUGCGAAUAAGCCACGGCUAACUCUGUGCCAGCAGCCGCGGUAAGACAGAGGUGGCGAGCGUUGUUCGGAAUUACUGGGCUUAAAGGGCGAGUAGGCGGUGGAGCAAGUCUGAGGUGGAAUCCUACGGCUUAACCGUAGAACUGCCUUAGAAACUGUUUUACUUGAGUCAGUGAGGGGAGGGCGGAAUUCCUGGUGUAGCGGUGAAAUGCGUAGAUAUCAGGAGGAAGGCCUGUGGCGAAAGUGGCCCUCUGGCACUGUACUGACGCUGAGGCGCGAAAGCGUGGGGAGCAAACAGGAUUAGAUACCCUGGUAGUCCACGCCCUAAACGGUGGGCAUUAGGUGUAGGGCUCGUAAGGGUUCUGUGCCGAAAGGGAAACCAUUAAAUGCCCCGCCUGGGGAGUACGGCCGCAAGGUUGAACUCAAGGAAUUGACGGGGG